AUUGAACGCUGGCGGCAGGCUUAACACAUGCAAGUCGAGCGGGGUGAUGGUGCUUGCACUAUCACUUAGCGGCGGACGGGUGCGUAAUGCUUAGGAAUCUGCCUAUUAGUGGGGGACAACAUCUCGAAAGGGAUGCUAAUACCGCAUACGUCCUACGGGAGAAAGCAGGGGAUCACUUGUGACCUUGCGCUAAUAGAUGAGCCUAAGUCGGAUUAGCUAGUUGGGGGGGUAAAGGCCUACCAAGGCGACGAUCUGUAGCGGGUCUGGGAGGAUGAUCCGCCACACUGGGACUGAGACACGGCCCAGACUCCUACGGGAGGCAGCAGUGGGGAAUAUUGGACAAUGGGGGGAACCCUGAUCCAGCCAUGCCGCGUGUGUGAAGAAGGCCUUAUGGUUGUAAAGCACUUUAAGCGAGGAGGAGGCUCUUUUGGUUAAUACCCAAGAUGAGUGGACGUUACUCGCAGAAUAAGCACCGGCUAACUCUGUGCCAGCCGCCGCAGUAA
rnacentral:rRNA from 1 species